rnacentral:rRNA from 1 species
CUUCCUACCGGAGGCAGCAGUGGGGAAUAUUGCACAAUGGGGGAAACCCUGAUGCAGCGACGCCGCGUGAGUGAAGAAGUAAUUCGUUAUGUAAAGCUCUAUCAGCAGGGAAGAAAAUGACGGUACCUGGGUAAGAAGCCCCGGCUAACUACGUGCCAGCAGCCGCGGUAAUACGUAGGGGGCAAGCGUUAUCCGGAUUUACUGGGUGUAAAGGGAGCGUAAACGGCAGUGCAAGUCUGGAGUGAAAGGCGGGGGCUCAACCCCCGGACUGCUCUGGAAACUGUCCGGCUGGCGGGCAGGAGGGG